rnacentral:rRNA from 1 species
GGAUUAGAUACCCUGGUAGUCCACGCCGUAAACGAUGAUCACUCGCUGUAUGCGAUACACAGUAUGCGGCCAAGCGAAAGCAUUAAGUGAUCCACCUGGGGAGUACGAUCGCAAGGUUGAAACUCAAAGGAAUUGACGGGGGCCCGCACAAGCGGAGGAACAUGUGGUUUAAUUCGAUGAUACGCGAGAAACCUUACCUGGGCUUAAAUGGGGAACGACAGCAGCCGAAAGGUUGCCUUCUUCGGACGUUCUUCAAGGUGCUGCAUGGUUGUCGUCAGCUCGUGCCG